GAAUUUAUAUUAACACAGCUGAUCCAAGGAGCACACAGUCAUGGUAAUUAGCCAAAAGGGGUUUCAUGAGCUCAGUUCAACUAAAAUUACAUAAACAAGAGAAAAAGAAAGAUUCCACUGGUAUUAAAAAUUAACCAAGAUGUUCCAAAAGCGUUACAACACUUUAAAUACACCCGGCCAACCAAAAAACUUAUCCACGAAAGAAGCAGUAGGCAACUUCGUCUCCUCCAGUUUUUACUUUCACUGAAAUACCAUCAACAAAAUAAGUAAAUCAGCUUUUGAUUUGAUUGACUCCCAAUUUCAGCUCCUUAAUGUUGCAUUACGUUUUCGUUCAACUGCUUCAGAAGUCAAACUCUCCAUUUGCCUAGACAAGUAACCAGUGAUUUAAACUCAAAGAAACAAAAAAAACAAGAUAAGUAAAACAAAGGUUCUAAAAAUCCAACCUUAUUGAAAAGAAUGUCUUUAUUAUUUAUGUGCAUUAUGCCAUCCUUAAGAGUGCAUUUCCACCUGCUCUUUGUACGUGUCACCUUGUCAAACUGAGCCAAAACAAGAUGUGCUGUGUUUAGAUCCUCCCCUUGGUCCACAUCAUCCAAUUCAUCAUCGUCAUCUUCAUUCAAGGGCUCGUCAUCAUCAUCAAUAUCAUCAUUCUGAAGUGGAGCAGGAGUAGGUGCUUGCAUAUCAUUUGGUGCUGGUGUGUUGACUAUAUUAUAGUCUUCAUUGACCACCCCUUGAUAAUAGAUAUUGGGUGUAGAAAGUGCAUCAUCAUAAGAGUCGGGAAUUGGGCCGUCAAAUUGAGGAAUUCUAUAAGCAGGAGCCUGGACAGGACCAACCGUGACCAACUCAAGCUGAAUAUUGCUGCCCUCACCACUCUUUAUGUUGUCAUAUAUUGAAUCUGCAGCACCAUCUUGCUGAGGUAUGUAUCCCCCAUUAUGAUAUUGAGGUGGAAAAUCUUCCCUUUUCCGCUUCCCAGUAGAAUUCAUAAAGAAGUCCUGAGUCAUGGGUUGCUGAGAACCUCCACGAUCACCUUCUUCUCGGCCUUCAACAUAAGCAACAUUAACAUCAAGGGGGGGCCUUUGAUUCAACCAAGGGGAGGGCGGAUGCAUAAAUGGGCUAGGUCUUCCUGGACCGGCUUUGAGCUCAGUUGCACCACCAGUAUCAUUCAAAGGAGAGUAAUCACUAGGUGUAAAAGGAGUGCCACCUGUAGGAAUAUUAUACAUUGAACUAUCAGCUGUUCCAGGAAGAGGUGUUUGAGCAGUUCCUGGGAGGGGUGUCUGCACUGUUCCAGGUAAUGGUGUCUGUGCUGUUCCAGGCAAGGGAGUCUGCAAUGGAGUUGGAGGAAACAGUAUAUCCGCAGUGGGAGUUUCAUACUCCUCAUUGCCUUCAUAAGGCAUGUUAAGGUCAUGAACAGGGGUUAUUGGACCUCCAGGGGUCGCUUUAGCAGCUGAAUUCCUUUCAAUCGUACCCAAUAUUGCCCCAGCGUUCAUCAUCUUCACCUCCCAUAAUGCUUGGAGUUCCUUGAGGAUGCUCUCUCCUGGACCACCGUUGUUGAUGAACUCAUCACGGACCUUGCUGAUAACAUCCUCGAUGACAUGGAUGUAAACAUUGCUGGUAGUAGAACUCGCCAUUCCUUCCAAACCUAGGGCUUUAUCAAGACAAAAUAGAUAGUAAUUCGAAUAGAAUAACGAUCCUACAAAACUAAACCCUAAUCGAUUGACAACGCAUCGGAGAAAAAGGGCCUAGGGUUUCGAACGCCGGUGAAGGGUUUGAAGUGAACGGAGCGGCGGAGAGAGAGAUGAAAGGAUAAGGAAGAAGCGUGGUCACGUCAGC
rnacentral:misc_RNA from 1 species